rnacentral:rRNA from 1 species
UACGAAGGGGGCUAGCGUUAAUCGGAAUUACUGGGCGUAAAGCGUGCGUAGGCGGUUCGUUGUGUCUGUGGUGAAAGCCCCGGGCUUAACCUGGGAAUGGCCAUGGAAACUGGCGAGCUGGAGUGUGGCAGAGGGGGGUGGAAUUCCGCGUGUAGCAGUGAAAUGCGUAGAGAUGCGGAGGAACACCGAUGGCGAAGGCAGCCCCCUGGGCUAACACUGACGCUGAGGCACGAAAGCGUGGGGAGCAAACAGG